rnacentral:rRNA from 1 species
UACGUAGGUGGCAAGCGUUGUCCGGAAUUAUUGGGCGUAAAGCGCGCGCAGGUGGUUCUUUAAGUCUGAUGUGAAAGCCCACGGCUCAACCGUGGAGGGUCAUUGGAAACUGGGGAACUUGAGUGCAGAAGAGGAAAGUGGAAUUCCAAGUGUAGCGGUGAAAUGCGUAGAGAUUUGGAGGAACACCAGUGGCGAAGGCGACUUUCUGGUCUGUAACUGACGCUGAGGCAUGAAAGCGUGGGGAGCAAACAGG